rnacentral:rRNA from 1 species
UACGAGGGGGGCAAGCGUUAAUCGGAUUUAUUGGGCGUAAAGGGCGCGUAGGCGGGGAUGUAAGUCAGAUGUGAAAUCCCGAGGCUCAACCUCGGAACAGCAUUUGAAACUCCAUCUCUUGAGGAUAGGCGGAGAAAACGGAAUUCCACAUGUAGCGGUGAAAUGCGUGGAUAUGUGGAAGAACAUCGGUGGCGAAGGCGGUUUUCUAGCUUAAACCUGACGCUGAGGCACGAAAGCUAGGGGAGCAAACAGG